AACGAACGCUGGCGGCAUGCCUAACACAUGCAAGUCGAACGAGACCAGCGGGUCUAGUCGCGCACGGGUGGGGAACGGGGGGGGAUCUGCCCAUGGGUUCGGAAUAACAGUUGGAAACGAGUGCUAAUACCGGAUGAUAACGUAAGUCCAAAGAUUUGUCGCCCAAGGAUGAGCGCGAGUAGGAUUAGCUAGUUGGUGAGGUAAAGGCGCACCAAGGCAACGAUACUUAGAUGGUAAGAGAGGAUAAGCAGCCACACUGGGACUGGGACGCGGCCGGGACUAUUGCGGGAGGGGGCAGAGCGUAAUAUAGGACUACCGCGUGAGGCAUGAAGGAGUUAGGCUGGUAAAGUGAUGUGGGCCGGAGGGAAGUAAAGCUCGUUAACCCCGGAUGGUAAUGACGGUACCGAGAGAAUAAGCACCGGCUAACUCCGUG
rnacentral:rRNA from 1 species